rnacentral:rRNA from 1 species
CCUACGUGUGGCAGCAGUGGGGAAUAUUGCACAAUGGGGGAAACCCUGAUGCAGCGACGCCGCGUGAGUGAAGAAGUAUUUCGGUAUGUAAAGCUCUGUCAGCAGGGAAGAAAAUGACGGUACCUGACCAAUAAGCCCCGGCUAACGACGUGCCAGCAGCCGCGGUACUACGUAGGGGGCAAGCGUUAUCCGGAUUUACUGGUUGUAAAGGGAGCGUAGACGGAAGGGCAAGUCUGGAGUGAAAGGCGGGGGCUCAACCCCAGGACUGCUCUGGAAACUGCCAGGCUGGAGUGCGGGAGAGGUAAGUGGAAUUCCUAGUGUAGCGGUGAAAUGCGUAGAUAUUAGGAGGAACACCAGUGGCGAAGGCGGCUUGCUGGACUGUAACUGACGUUGAGGCUCGAAAGCGUGGGGAGCAAACAGGAUUAGAUACCCCUGUAGUC